AAUACCACCCAAUAACCAUACCAUAUGUUUGGAAGUGGAUUCAAAUAAGAUAAAAUCAUGACAUUACUGUACUAUACAUUAAUUACCCAUCAUCCAAACAAAACACUAGUGAUGCAUAAAAUAUCAUGAUUUUUGCAUUGAAAUGAAUAUUUUAUGAAAAUGGGCAUGAAGGUCUAACACUGUAAUAUUUAUGCAUGACAUUUACAAUGAUAUAAUCGGUUAGGCUAUUAUCUCUGAGGAGUUCUAUUUCUCCCCCCAUCUAGAUUAAAAAGACGUGAGAGGACCAUUCAUUGUAGAUGACGACGUCCCCUCUAAUGAGAGUGGUUAUGCGAUAUGAUUUAUAGGGUCACUAUGGUAACGUACGACCGUGACUAUAGUUUACGUGUAGGACGACUGUAGUUAGCAUAUGUGGUUAUAUAGCAUGUUAUAGUUUGGCAAAUCGUAAAUGUACUAUGGUUUGGUAAGCCAUAAAUGUGUCGUGAUUUAGCAAGUCGUAAAUGUACUAAGAUGAAAAUAACUUUGUCAUUCCACAGUGGUAGUUAAAAAUUCAUAUUACCCUCAGUAGAUAUAAGUCGAAACGGUUUCAUAUGAAGAAUAGGUAAAAGAUGGAAUAAGAAGUCAUAACAUGAUUCAUAUUUGUUUAAUUUUCUCUAUUCUAUGCAUGGUUGAUAUGAAUGUCUUGAUGUUAAUGAUUCUU
rnacentral:lncRNA from 1 species